GCGGGGGCUGCCCAGCCCCGAGGGGGCGAAGCUGAGGUAAAAUGAGCAGCCCCGCGGAGCCGCCGAGGCCGAGGGCCCCGAGCCUCAGCGCUCCCGGCUGCGCCCCGUGUGCGCAACCCGCUCUGUCAGAGCCGUGAGCCGGGAAGCGGCGCUGCCGCGACCCCCCUGGCAGCGGCGCGCCGGGCUGCACCGAGGCCUCUGCAGCAGAGCCCAGGGGCGCCGCCGCGCUAGUUCUGCGCCGACAGCCGCUGGCCGGGCCCAGGCCCUCUUCCUCGGCUCGCCGCACCGGAGCCCAGCCCAGGCAGCCUUAGGGGCCUCGCUGAUUCUCGCAGAGGUCAUCCCUUCCCAAGCCUGUUCGGCCCACUGGAGAGCAUGCUUGUGAUUACAGUAAAUCACAUAUAUCAAGAAGAAAAGGGGACCAAACCUGAAUCCCUCCAGGAGCUUGGGCAGUGUUCAUCAUCAAUGAGGAAGGACAAAUUCACUGCGUAUGCAAAACACACUGUGGUCUUAGCAAGACUUUCCAUGUGGAACUGCAGGUCAGAAGCAGAUGCAGCACAUUUCAGAAGACUCAAAUUUUAUCAAGGAAUAAUCGCCAAAUCUUAUCAGCUCAAGGCAAGUGUAUAUUUGGGUUGAAAUCUCACACUUAUGUACUUUGACCCCUUUAGAUCUCUCUC
rnacentral:lncRNA from 1 species